UACGGAGGGUGCAAGCGUUAUCCGGAUUCACUGGGUUUAAAGGGUGCGUAGGAGGGCAGGUAAGUCAGUGGUGAAAUCCCCGAGCUUAACUUGGGAACUGCCAUUGAUACUAUCUCUCUUGAAUACCUUGGAGGUGAGCGGAAUAUGUCAUGUAGCGGUGAAAUGCUUAGAUAUGACAUAGAACACCAAUUGCGAAGGCAGCUCACUACACGGUCAUUGACACUGAGGCACGAAAGCGUGGGGAUCAAACAGG
rnacentral:rRNA from 1 species